AAGUAUAAUUAUUGGUUGUCCAUAUUACUCGAAUCCAGAGUCAUAUCUGCUCUGUUCGAAUCUUAUUCUGGUUGUUMUAGAUCUACAAUCUACAACCUACUAUACAAAGGGUAUACGUUUUUUUCUGCUCUCUUCUGAAUGGCCCAUCAUAACACCAUUCAUUGGUUACAUCACUCAAGAAUACACUGUCACAUAAGCAAAUACAUGAGGGUUGUGUAACUCGCACCCUCUGUGGUAUUGACAGCAUGACAGUGUCAUUUGAUUUACAUUUCAUCGAUGAUUGUAUUUGUUUGGCUUUCAAGCCAGCAUAAUCGUUCGGAGCAGAGACACAGACUGGAUACGUUAAUGCUGGCUAAACUAAACAGUGUGCUCUAUUUACCAAGCGUACUCCGCUGGUUCGUUAGCCAGCUAAGCUAGCUAGCUAGCCUGCCAGUCAACAUAUACUUUGGCUAUUUUUUUUUAUUACUCUGUGAUAUUCCCCACAUUCCUAUUUCUAUCUUUUCUGUCGACUUAAAUAAAAUAAUGUCAUGCACAUGCAGAUCAGCGGCGAGAUUGUUCAUAACUUCUCAAAAAGGUAUCUCUUCCACAGAGUCCAGUUAUUUUCUAUUGCAGACCAGGAACACCUGAAGUCCGAUUAACCAGAAGAGUUCCUGUGAGAUCAUUCUCCGAAUCAUCUGUAUGUUUUUCAUCAAAAGAUGUCAAAGAUGGCUCCGGUGAUGGAGGAAAGAAAUCAGUUGGKGAUGCAGGAAGUGGGAAAAGAGGAGGUUCCGGUGGCUCCGGAAAAGGAGGCAGCCAGCUACGCUGUCCCAAGUGUGGAGAUGCCUGCACUCAUGUAGAAACCUUUGUGUCUUCAACCCGCUUUGUGAAAUGUGAGAAAUGUCAUCACUUCUUUGUGGUGCUGUCAGAGACCGACUCCAACCAAGAGUCUCAAUAAGGAGCAGGAAGCAGCCAACGAGGCGUCAAACUGGCCUUCCAGCAGAACCUCCCCCCCCUCC